AUGAACGCUGGCGGCGUGCCUAAUACCUGCAAGUCGAGCGAACAGACGAGGAGCUUGCUCCUCCGACGUUAGCGGCGGACGGGUGAGUAACACGUGGAUAACCUACCUAUAAGACUGGGAUAACUUCGGGAAACCGGAGCUAAUACCGGAUAAUAUAUUGAACCGCAUGGUUCAAUAGUGAAAGACGGUUUUGCUGUCACUUAUAGAUGGAUCCGCGCCGCAUUAGCUAGUUGGUAAGGUAACGGCUUACCAAGGCAACGAUGCGUAGCCGACCUGAGAGGGUGAUCGGCCACACUGGAACUGAGACACGGUCCAGACUCCUACGGGAGGCAGCAGUAGGGAAUCUUCCGCAAUGGGCGAAAGCCUGACGGAGCAACGCCGCGUGAGUGAUGAAGGUCUUCGGAUCGUAAAACUCUGUUAUUAGGGAAGAACAAAUGUGUAAGUAACUAUGCACGUCUUGACGGUACCUAAUCAGAAAGCCACGGCUAACUACGUG
rnacentral:rRNA from 1 species